GCCCGGGGCUCAACCUCGGAACCGCAUUUGAAACUGGCAGGCUAGAGUCUUGUAGAGGGGGGUAGAAUUUCAGGUGUAGCGGUGAAAUGCGUAGAGAUCUGAAGGAAUACCAGUGGCGAAGGCGGCCCCCUGGACAAAGACUGACGCUCAGAUGCGAAAGCGUGGGUAGCAAACAGGAUUAGAUACCCUGGUAGUCCACGCCGUAAACGCUGUCUACUUGGAGGUUGAGGUUUAAGACUUUGGCUUUCGGCGCUAACGCAUUAAGUAGACCGCCUGGGGAGUACGGCCGCAAGGUUAAAACUCAAAUGAAUUGACGGGGGCCCGCACAAGCGGUGGAGCAUGUGGUUUAAUUCGAUGCAACGCGAAGAACCUUACCUACUCUUGACAUCCAGCGAAGCCUUUAGAGAUAGAGGCGUGCCUUCGGGAGCGCUGAGACAGGUGCUGCAUGGCUGUCGUCAGCUCGUGUUGUGAAAUGUUGGGUUAAGUCCCGCAACGAGCGCAACCCUUAUCCUUGUUUGCCAGCACGUAAUGGUGGGAACUCCAGGGAGACUGCCGGUGAUAAACCGGAGGAAGGUGGGGACGACGUCAAGUCAUCAUGGCCCUUACGAGUAGGGCUACACACGUGCUACAAUGGCAGAUACAGAGGGCAGCGAAGCUGCGAAGUGGAGCGAAUCCCUUAAAGUCUGUCGUAGUCCGGAUUGGAGUCUGCAACUCGACUCCAUGAAGUCGG
rnacentral:rRNA from 1 species